UUUUGGGUUGGUUGUUUGAGCUGAUGUUAUGGAAGCUGUUCCCCCCUGCUGUUUGGAUGUUGAAGUUUUUAUUGUUUUUUUUUAAAUAUGUGUAAUUUGUGGCAGUACUUAUUGAUGCCUUUUUUUAAUAUUUUAGGCUCUUAAUGAGUUCCAUGGAUUUGUUCAUUAUCUCAGCUAUCACAGCUGUGUAUAAUGUUGGUAUCUAUCUCCUGAACAAUUAUGUUUUAACAUGUUAUAUGUUAUGACAUCUGUG
rnacentral:lncRNA from 1 species